rnacentral:rRNA from 1 species
CGCGCACACACCGCCCGUCACUCUCCCCAAGCCAACCACCAUCCCAUAAAUAAUUCAUUACACCGGUAAAGGGGAGGCAAGUCGUAACAUGGUAAGCGUACCGGAAGGUGCGCUUGGAAAAAU